CUUUAAUUGAAAAAUACGAAAUUGGACAGUUGAAAAAAAUCAAACUUGCACUUGGUAUUUCAGGGGCUUGCUGGGGCUCAACGAGCCCUCCUGGGAGGAUGCUGUCCACACUGGGAAGCGCCGCACCCAUUUCGGUUGUUAUCAUCAUCACCCUCGGUGCUUCCCGGGCGGCCCGUCCUUCUGGACUUGAGGUGGGAUCUGGAACCGUGAGGGCGCCCCCCCCCCCCCGUUCUCCUGGGCUGGUCCCCUGGGCCCAGCACUCUCUGAAGUCCAUUUUUCUCAUCGCUCUGUCCUGCCUUUCUCACAGCAGCCCAUGAGAACAGCGGCCUCAGGGAGAAACCCAGAGAGGCCUUGGUCAGCCCAGAGAGGCCUUCAUCAGCCCAGAGAGGCUUUUGUCUGUGGCCCUUCCAGGGCCGGUGUGGGGGAGACCAUGGCUGCCUCCCCUGGGAGGCAUGGGCCCCAAACCUCGUGGUUCCCUUGCUAACUCAUUAAUGGGGCCGUCGUCCGUGGAUUUGGCUAAACCUUUUGUGAAACUUUCUAUUUCCAGCCUGGACACAUCUUAAAAUAACGAGUUCCAUCAGUACCCUCCCCCACGUGGGAAGUAGAGCUGCCUUUCAUGGGCCCUAAACGUACCUCCUUCUAGCCCCCGGCAGUGCUGAUCCAGGUUUCCGUGAGUGACUCCAUGUGGCCCCCCGUUCAGCUGGACCCCCCAGCCCAUGACCCAGAACUGGUUCGUUCCCUGGGAAAGCCCAGCCCCCGCCGCCAUCACCCCCAGCCCCCCUGCACCCUCCCCUUCUAAAAUGACAAAACAGCAGUAUGCCAGACUCGGGAGACCACCCUAAACCCAUUGGAUGACAAGCAUCGGGGCCCCCAAAAAGGCCAGAGCCCUGAGCGACACCUGAGCAGAAGAAAUUCAAUAGGGGCGAGUGCCAAAUGACAUCCCAGAGGACCACGGCCUCGGGGGAGCCUGUGACGGAGCCGGACUGCAGUGAGAGAGGGGUCCUUUCUCCUGCAGAGCUGCCUGGGUACAGUGGUCAGGGAGAGGUCCAGACAGGAGAUGCCUCCAGAUGUCACGGGAGUGUGCAGAAAAGGCUGCUCUCUCUGACUCGAGGGCUCUUGUGUGGAAGAGGGCGCCGGGAGGCAGAAUUUGUAGCAGUCGGGGAGAUACCAAGGGGCAACUCGGGACCCCAUUCGGAAGGAAGCAUGUGCUGACGGGAAGGGCCGUCCCAGAGCAGGAAGGGCAGCCUCCCCGUCCUCCUUGGAGGCCUUCGGGCAGAGGCCGGACAGCCACUUGUCCCAUCCUGCUUCGGAGUGACUCGAGGUGAUGCUGACGUUCAGUGUGAGCAUUCCCACCUCAGAAAAGUGGCAAACGCCUAACGGGGCCUGAACUGAUUGUUUUAUUAGUUGCCCAGUCUGAAGAAAGUGACGAAGAAAUGUCAAUAAAGCAAAUUAGGUUUAAAAACACCUUUUCGGAUAGCUGAUGAUUCCACAUUGACGAGCUGAUCCAGAUCAGCAUCCCGUUAGAGCGGAUAUAACCACCCCCCCCAGGUCAACGGCAGCCCUCCACACACUUACUCAUAGACAAUCACUGUGAGUUGCUGAGACCAAAGGAAAAACAUCCAGUGGUGAAGGAGGGGCCACGAAACAGUCCCACAGUGACACGGCCAUGUCAGGGUAACCUGAAGGACAGGCGCUCUCACCUUAGACUUCCCAUCGCUCCAAACUCAGCCACCCAGAUGACCUUUAAUUUGGAAAUCGUCCCCUUUGAUCACUUAUUGAGCAACUGCUAAGGACCAGGCAGGAAGAAUGGGAAGAAAAAAGAGAGAAUACACUUUCCUCUGCAUUCAAAGUCCCUUGGCUCGAUAUCUGGUGGCGAGUCCCGGGUUUCAUCAUGAGUCCCCUGGAAUGGUAAUUGGUCGGUUUUACAUGGACCUUCAUUUUUAACAUAUUUCCCUAUGAGUCGUGUUGUGAAAGAAAAAGCAGAACAAACGGGAAGGAAACCAAACCAGGUGAUCCCCAUUCGAUCUUCGGCGCUCGCUCCCUGCAUGCGGAUGCCCUUUUCCCUUCCAAGUCUGUUGGAAUUGUCUUGGAUCGCCGGAUUGCUGAGAAGAGCCAAGUCUUUCCUAGUUGCUCAUCACCGUGUUGCUGUUGCUGUGUACGACGUUCUCCUGGUUCCGCUCCCUUCCCUCAGCAUCAGUUCUAAGUCUUUCCAGGCUUUUUUGAAAUCGGCCUGCUCAUCUUUUCUCUAGAACAAUAGUAUUUCAUCGCCUUCAUGGACCACAACUCGGUCAGCCAUUGCCCAAUUCUUGGGCAUCCCCUCUGUUCCUUGCCACCACAAACAUUUUUGCCCGUGCGAGUCCUUUUCCCUCUUUAGGAUACAAGUAGAGACACUCCUGCAUCGAAGGAUAUGCAGUUUGAUCAUUCCCAACUCCACCAACAAUGCAUUAGUGUCCCAGUCGCCCCCAUCACUUCUUACAUCACAGUAGUACCUGCCACAACUUGUUCAGCCAUUGCCCAAUUGAUGGGUAUCCCCUCAGUUUCUAAUUCUUUGCCACCAUUUUUUUU